CUCUUCUUAGCUCAGUUGGUUUAGAGCGUCUGACUGUAAUUGUUUGAAUUGUCAUCAGAAGGUCCUUUGUUCGACUCAGAGAGAGGAGA
rnacentral:tRNA from 1 species